rnacentral:lncRNA from 1 species
CAUUUCUAGGGCUGCUCCCGCGGCAUAUGGAGGUUCCCAGGCUAGGGGUCCAAUCAGAGAUGUAGCCACCCGCCUACGCCAGAGCCACAGCAACGCGGGAUCCAAGCGCGUCUGCAACCUACACCACAGCUCAGGGCAACGCCGGAUCCUUAACCUACUGAGCGAGGCCAGGGAUCGAACCCGCAACCUCAUGGUUCCUAGUUGGAUUCGAUAACCACUAAGCCACAACGGGAACUCCCAUAAGUGGUAUUCUUAUUAUAUUUUAAAAUACAUACGAGGGCAGGGCUGAUGGUGUGUUACUGUCCUGGGGCUGUAAUAACAAAUGACUACAAUCCGGAGGCAGGGGUGGGGCUUAAAACAAGUGAAUAGAUUCUCCUACAGUCCUAGCCACCGACUGCAAGUCUGAAAUCAGGUGAUGGCGGGGCUCACUGCCCCCGGGGCUCUGGGGAGGUCCCUUCCUUGGCUCCUCCACCUCCCAGGGCUCCAGGCAUCUUUGACUCAUGGCCACCUCCCUCCAGCCUCUGCCUCCGCCUUUGCGUGGCAUCUUCCCCAGGCAUCAGGUCACCAGGCACCAGAGCGAGGACCCACCCACACAAGGACGCUGCAUCUCAGCAUCCUUGGCCAACGGCUUAUUUCCAACUAAGGUCACAUUCCAAGGUCCCAGGUGGGCAUGAAUCUUGGGAGACACUGUUUGCCGCAGCACAGAUGACGUGUCGUGUCCCCAGCACCCCAAGCCGAGCGCUACCCCACUGUCCUUCCAGAGCUGUCAGCAGACAGGCAAGUGCCGUCUCUGUUCUCGACGACAGCGUGGCAGGGAGGGGAUGGGAGCAGAGGACGAAAGAGACAUUCCCUGGCCGGAGGUCCUCUGACAUGAGGCCAUAGACCAGGUGACAGGGCAGGUGAGAGGCAGCCCAGCACGCGAUGGGGUCUGGAGGCCAGGAUGCAGGCAGAAAGGGAGGGAACGGGCUUCAAAGGUCAAGGGUCACUGAACACCAGAGGCUGGGCAGGGAGGAAGCGGCUACGACCCCAGACCCUCUGAUCCCCUCCACACACUCUCCGCCAGCACCCCGUGUCACUUUAUUUGUACGUAUUUAUUUUUAAGGGCUGUACCCACGGCAUAUGGGAGUUUCCCGGCCAGGGGUUGAAUCGAAACCAACACUGGAUCCUUUAAUCCACUGCGCCAGGCCAGGAACGGAACCCACGCCUCUGCAGCGAGCUUAGCUGCUGCAGUCGGAGUCGUAACCCACUAAGCCACAGCAGAGACCCCCUGGAUCAUUUUAGAUGUGAAGGAUUUCUCGGGGACCAGCUCGGGGAGAGCUAAUGGUUAGUAGGGCAUCUCCGUGUGCUGGGCACAAUUUACACACAUCAACCACUUAGGCCGACACCCUUAGGAAGUACAGAGGGGAGGUUUGUGACACGGCACUAGCUCCCUAGCACAAGACAGGUGCUAUUAUUACUUCUCCUUCUAUAGCAGAGGAAACGACAGCACAGAGAGGUUAAGCGUCUUCCCCAAGGGCACACAGCCAAUGAGAGGCAGAUCCAGAUGCAAACCCAGGUUGUCUGGCUCCAGGCUGGAGCUCCUAACGCUAGGCCAGGCCUGCGUAGAAACACAGGGACCCACGUUACAGAGCAAGGGCCAAACUCCUGCCCACGGGAGGGCAGGCCCAGCAAUUCAGCUACUGGCUCAUCCCCACUUUUUUUUUGGGGGGGGGUUGUUUGUUUUUUUUUAAGGCUGAACUUGCAGCAUAUAGAGGUUCCCAGGCUAGAGGUCAAAUGGAGCUACAGCUGCUGGCCUACACCACAG